rnacentral:rRNA from 1 species
AGAGUUUGAUCCUGGCUCAGAUUGAACGCUGGCGGCAUGCCUUACACAUGCAAGUCGAACGGCAGCACGGGAGCAAUCCUGGUGGCGAGUGGCGAACGGGUGAGUAAUAUACCGGAACGUGCCCAGUCGUGGGGGAUAACGCAGCGAAAGCUGUGCUAAUACCGCAUACGAUCUACGGAUAAAAGCGGGGGAUCGCAAGACCUCGCGCGAUUGGAGCGGCCGAUAUCAGAUUAGCUAGUUGGUGGGGUAAAGGCCCACCAAGGCGACGAUCUGUAGCUGGUCUGAGAGGACGACCAGCCACACUGGAACUGAGACACGGUCCAGACUCCUACGGGAGGCAGCAGUGGGGAAUUUUGGACAAUGGGCGCAAGCCUGAUCCAGCAAUGCCGCGUGCAGGAUGAAGGCCUUCGGGUUGUAAACUGCUUUUGUACGGAACGAAACGGUCUCUUCUAAUAAAGGGGGCUAAUGACGGUACCGUAAGAAUAAGCACCGGCUAACUACGUGCCAGCAGCCGCGGUAAUACGUAGGGUGCGAGCGUUAAUCGGAAUUACUGGGCGUAAAGCGUGCGCAGGCGGUUAUAUAAGACAGAUGUGAAAUCCCCGGGCUCAACCUGGGACCUGCAUUUGUGACUGUAU